rnacentral:ncRNA from 1 species
UGCCCCGGGCACGGCGUAAAACUGCGGCUAUCCUGUGAGAAGCGACCUCGUAAAAAAGCGUA